UACGUGCGGGGCGAACGUUGUUCGGUGUCACUGGGCUUAAAGGGCGCGUAGGUGGUUGUGUAAGUAACGUGUGAAAUCCCUCGGCUUACCCGGGGAAUUGCAUGUUAUACUGCAUGACUUGAGGAUCAGAGGGGAAUGGGGAACUCCAGGUGUAGCGGUGAAAUGCGCAGAUAUCUGGGGGAAGGCCGGCGGCGAAGGCGCCAUUCUGGCUGAUUCCUGACACUGAGGCGCGAAAGCGUGGGGAGCAAACAGG
rnacentral:rRNA from 1 species